UGAUUUACCAAAUUCUAUUACUAAUUAAAUAUAUACAAACAUUUAAUAUUCACAACCACAAUUCAAACUAUUUCAUUUCCAAACCAACCCUAUACAUCCCAAAUAAACCAAAAAUUACAUUGCAAAAACUACCGGAUUAAAUUGGAUAGUGUAGCUUGAUAUGUUGAUUCAAUCUCCCGACUACACGUUAAUCUACAAGAACAUUAAACAACACGAGUAAGCUUAAUGAAACUAAUUAGUAAGUUCAAUAGGUUAAACAUUGAUCUUACCGAACUUAAUAUAAUAAAUUAAAUUGUAAAUAAAUCAUAUUGUAAAUAAAUCAUACAUUUUUCCCUGUCAAAUACAAUAUAAAUCCAUAAACACAAUUCCUUCAGAUCAAUAUCAAUAAUAAUCUAUAAAUCUUUCAAUUCAAUCACAUAAGUCUUUUACCAUUUCUUACUGAAUCGAAGAACGGCUUACGGAUAUGAGUACAUCGUUUUCUUUGUGCCAUAGUCCAACUAUGGUCUUACACAUGCAUUGCCAUGGCCCUACCAUGAUCUUACAUUUGUAGUGCCAUAACCCAAUUAUGGUCUUAUCAUCAAAAUGCCAUAGCCCAGCUAUGAUCUUACACACAUAUAUAUAUAUUGCCAUGGUCCAACCAUGGUUUUACUUUCAAUGUGUCAUAACCCAGUUACGGUCUUUUCAUUAAAAUGUCAUAGCCCAGCUAUGGUCUUACAUUUAAACACUGCCAUGGUCCAACCAUGGUCUUAUCCGUCAAUUCAUUCUUUGCCACGGGACGAUCGUACUCAAUCCCGUGUUCUACUAAUUUAAAACAUUCAAUUCAAUUUUCAUACUUUUACAAUAAUCUUAAUUUCAACAACAAAAUAUGAAUAAAUACAUUAUACCAUUCCUAAAUUAACAAAUAAUCAUGAAAGUUUAAUCAUAUGAACUUACCUGGGGUAGAUUUGUAGAAUUUGUAGUAGUUUAGGGACUAUUUUGUUAAUUUCCCUUUUUUCUCGUUGAUUUACGGGCUCUUGAUCUAAUAUAUAUUUAAUUACUCAUUCAUUAGAACAUAUUUAAAUUUUAAUUCACUUCACAAUUUAUACCCCUCAAUUUUUGAAAUUGCACGAUUACCCCACUUUUAUAGCUUUUGCAAUUUAGUCCCUCACCAAUUAACCCAUCAAAUGAGCUAAUUUUUUUUAAUUAACAUUUUAUCUAAAUAGUCUAAGCUAUUACAAAGACUUUGAUAAACAAAAUUUAAUACCAAACUCUAAGAUUUAGUAUUUUUCUCAAUUUGGUCCUAAAAUCAAUUUCUAUUGAAAUUACUUGAUAAAAUCAUCAUAUAACAAAAUUAAAGCUUCAAAUCCAUGUUAAUUCAUCAUGAAAAUUGAACACUCAUCAAUGGUAACUUUAAAAAUUACCCAUAAAAUAAAAAACCAAUGAAAUAGACAAUUGAACCUAGUUGUAAAAAUCAUAGAAACACAAAAAUUUCAAGAAAAGAGCAAGAAUUGAACUCACUUAUAGCAAAAUAUGAAAAGCAGCUUCUUAAGGGUUCUUCA
rnacentral:lncRNA from 1 species